rnacentral:misc_RNA from 1 species
GAAAGUAAAAGUCGUAACAAGGUUUCCGUAGGUGAACCUGCGGAAGGAUCAUUAGUGAAUUUUAGGGCGUCUACUUGUAGAGCCUGACCUCCACUUUCUAACUCUGUGCACUUAUUUGGCGGAAAAAGGGAAUAGUGAUUGUUUAACGACGAUUGCGAAUUCCUUAUUUCUGCGGCUUACUCUAAACGCUAGUCAAAGUCUGUAACGAAAUAUCGAAAUACAAAAAAACUUCCAACAACGGAUCUCUUGGCUCUC